AUGCACGCUGGCGGCGUGCCUCAUCCAUGCCAGUCGCGCGAACAGACGAGGAGCUUGCUCCUCUGACGUUAGCGGCGGACGGGUGAGUAACACGUGGAUAACCUACCUAUAAGACUGGGAUAACUUCGGGAAACCGGAGCUAAUACCGGAUAACAUGUUGAACCGCAUGGUUCAACAGUGAAAGACGGUUUUGCUGUCACUUAUAGAUGGAUCCGCGUCGCAUUAGCUAGUUGGUAAGGUAACGGCUUACCAAGGCAACGAUGCGUAGCCGACCUGAGAGGGUGAUCGGCCACACUGGAACUGAGACACGGUCCAGACUCCUACGGGAGGCAGCAGUAGGGAAUCUUCCGCAAUGGGCGAAAGCCUGACGGAGCAACGCCGCGUGAGUGAAGAAGGUCUUCGGAUCGUAAAACUCUGUUAUUAGGGAAGAACAAAUGUGUAAGUAACUAUGCACGUCUUGACGGUACCUAAUCAGAAAGCCACGGCUAACUACGUG
rnacentral:rRNA from 1 species